rnacentral:lncRNA from 1 species
AUAAAAGGAUUAUAAGGCUAAAAAAUCAAUUUAAACCCUAUAUUUGUCCUUCUAGCUAUCUUCACUCCUAUAUUCAAUUAGUUCAACACAUGCAUUCAAUUUUCAAAAUAAUUAUGAAGGUUAUAAAGGUGAGAGAUGAAGUUUCAACAAGGGGAAAAUGUAAUGGCUUAAGAAAUAGUGAUUUUUUUUUGAGAUGGUGGUCCCCUUUUUUUUGUUUAAGGACUUUGAUGACCUUUUUUUUUCUUUUUUUUUUCUUUUUUUUUCUUCGGUUAUUCACAUCUCAUUCUUUUUUCUCUUUUUUUGGAAGAAUUUUUCUAGGGCCCUUUUGGUUUGAUCUUUUUUUUGAAAGGUCU